rnacentral:rRNA from 1 species
CCUACGGGUGGCAGCAGUGGGGAAUAUUGCACAAUGGGGGAAACCCUGAUGCAGCGACGCCGCGUGAGUGAAGAAGGAUUUCGGUAUGGAAAGCUCUAUCAGCAGGGGAGAAAAUGACGGUACCUGAGUAAGAAGCACCGGCUAACUACGUGCCAGCAGCCGCGGUAAUACGGAGGGGGCAGGCGUUAUCCGGAUUUACUGGGUGUAAAGGGAGCGUAGACGGUGAUGCAAGUCAGAAGUGAAAGCCCGGGGCUCAACUCCGGGACUGCUUUUGAAACUGUGUAACUUGAGUGCAGGAGAGGUAAGCGGAAUUCCAGGUGUAGCGGUGAAAUGCGUAGAUAUCAGGAGGAACACCGGUGGCGAAGGCAGCUUACUGGACUGUCACUGACGUUGAGGCUCGAAAGCGUGGGGAGCAAACAGGAUUAGAUACCCUUGUAGUC